UACGAAGGGAGCUAGCGUUGUUCGGAAUCACUGGGCGUAAAGCGCACGUAGGCGGAUGUGUCAGUCAGGGGUGAAAUCCCGGAGCUCAACUUCGGAACUGCCUUUGAUACAGCACGUCUUGAGUCCGGAAGAGGUGGGUGGAAUUCCUAGUGUAGGGGUGAAAUUCGUAGAUAUUAGGAAGAACACCGGUGGCGAAGGCGGCCCACUGGUCCGGUACUGACGCUGAGGUGCGAAAGCGUGGGGAGCAAACAGU
rnacentral:rRNA from 1 species